AUGACGAUAAUAAGUUGGAACUGCCGGGGGCUUGGGCAACCCCGGACAGUUCAGGAGUUGGUGUGCCUAGUGCGCACCUACCGGCCUUCUCUGGUCUUUAUCUCUGAAACUAGGAAAAGCGAGGAUUACGUUAAUAAGUUGCGUAGGAGACUAGGUCUCAAGCAUUGCAUUUCCCAUGUCGGAAAGGGAAAGGGUGCAGGUAUUGCUCUCUUCUAUGAUUUGCAAGUUGAAAUAAAAGAACUCGCUAUUGGCCCGCGUUACAUCGAUGUGUUGGUUCGCCUAAAUCCCCAUGGCCGGCAAUGGCGGGGUACCUUUGUUUAUGGAGAGCCAAAAGCUAGUGAGAGGCAUCACACGUGGGAUCUCUUACACAGAAUCAGGCCGAUGUCAAACGAACCAUGGCUCAUGUUGGGUGAUUUUAAUGAAACUGCUUGGCAACAUGAACACCUUUCUAGAACACCUCGAAACGAGAAGAACAUGGAAAGUUCCAGAGUUGUUCUGGCCGACUGUGAGUUGGUCGACCUCGGUUUCAGCAGUCCAAGAUGGACCUUUGAUAAUAAACAAAAGGGUGCGGACAAUGUCAAGGCCAGAAUCAAUCGCGGGGUUGCUGACCAACACUGGAGCUCUAUCUUCCCUGAAGCUUCAAUCGAGCACAUUUGUUCAUCUAGAUCCGAUCAUCUUCCCCUGCUCCUU
rnacentral:rRNA from 1 species